CUAAUACAUGCAAGUCGAGCGCGGGAAGCCGGACAGAUCCCUUCGGGGUGACGACCGGUGGAACGAGCGGCGGAUGGGUGAGUAACACGUGGGCAACCUGCCUGUAAGCCUGGGAUAACUCGCGGAAACGCGAGCUAAUACCGGAUGCGCCUUUUGUUCGCAUGAACGAAAGGUAAAAGGCGGCUUUUGCUGUCACUUACAGAUGGGCCCGCGGCGCAUUAGCUAGUUGGUGAGGUAACGGCUCACCAAAGCGACGAUGCGUAGCCGACCUGAGAGGGUGAUCGGCCACACUGGGACUGAGACACGGCCCAGACUCCUACGGGAGGCAGCAGUAGGGAAUCUUCCGCAAUGGACGAAAGUCUGACGGAGCAACGCCGCGUGAGUGAUGAAGGUCUUCGGAUCGUAAAACUCUGUUGUUAGGGAAGAACAAGUAUAAGGCGAAUAACCUUAUACCUUGACGGUACCUAACCAGAAAGCCCCGGCUAACUACGUGCCAGCAGCCGCGGUAAUACGUAGGGGGCGAGCGUUGUCCGGAAUUAUUGGGCGUAAAGGGUGCGUAGGCGGUCUUCUAAGUCUGAUGUGAAAGCCCCCGGCUUAACCGGGGAGGGUCAUUGGAAACUGGAAGACUUGAGUGCAGAAGAGGAGAGCGGAAUUCCACGUGUAGCGGUGAAAUGCGUAGAGAUGUGGAGGAACACCCAGUGGCGAAGGCGG
rnacentral:rRNA from 1 species